UGUUGAGCAGAUUGACCGACUAUAUGUCGGUAGUGUUGAUAUGUCGGUAGAAGAUCCGAACGAACCAUCGAUUAGUAGUUCUAAUAUGCCGACGAUCAUGGAUCGGAGAUUAUUCAAGUUGUUCGCUAUUGAUCGGUAGUAGCCGAAUGUCUGUCGGUCUGCCGACAACGAGUCAGUAUGAUUUGUCCAGUCAGUCGAAGAAUAGUUGGAAUUGUAUGUUCGGUCGGUCAGCCUUU
rnacentral:lncRNA from 1 species